UCGAGAAUCUUUCGCAAUGCCCGAAAGGGUGACGAAGCGACGCCGCGUGCGGGAGGAAGGCCUUCGGGUUGUAAACCGCUGUCGGGAGUUAAGAAAUGCAAGGAUGUUAAUAGCGUUCUUGCUUGACUAAGGCUCCGGAGGAAGCCACGGCUAACUCUGUGCCAGCAGCCGCGGUAAUACAGAGGCGGCAAGCGUUGUUCGGAAUUAUUGGGCGUAAAGAGCACGUAGGCGGCUGUGUAAGUCGGUUGUGAAAGCCUUCCGCUCAACGGAAGAACGGCAUCCGAUACUGCAUGGCUUGAGUGUGGGAGGGGAGAGUGGAACUUCUGGUGGAGCGGUGAAAUGCGUAGAUAUCAGAAGGAACACCGGCGGCGAAGGCGACUCUCUGGUCCAUAACUGACGCUGAGUGUGCGAAAGCUAGGGGAGCAAACGGGAUUAGAUACCCCAGUAGUCCCUGAGCGGGCUGGCAAGGCGCAU
rnacentral:rRNA from 1 species